AUAAAAAUAUUUCACGUGGUUUUAUAUUUUUUAUAUCUCUCUAUAUUUAUUUAUAAUUGUCUAUAAAAGUUAUAACUGUAUUCGAAUCGUUGAAAGUUCGAAAAUAAAAUUCGAACACCCGUUACCAUAGUAGCCUUAGUUACCGCGAGUGAUUAUAAACAAUGAAAAAAAUGGUGUUGCAUCAACAAGAAGUGCUCUGUCUUAACACCGAUAGUGAUUAAGCCAUCCCAACGGAAACAAACAGCCACAAUUCCAGCGUUUUUCACCAACAUUUCACAGCAGCACCACAAAUUAGGAUUUUCCAUCAUCCGACUGGUCGGUAGCAAUAACGAUGAAGCGAUGCUUCUGCCAAAGGGUUUGACUCCAAUUCAACAGCCGCAACUAGUGCAAAUUCACAGGUGCAAACGAUGCAAGCCAAUCAGGAUCAAGUGCAGAUGACCAUUCGUCGCAGGAACAACCACAAACUAGAAUUAUCAUCACCCAGAUUCCGUAGUAGAUACAGCAACGGCACCUUCAGGUACAACAGCAGUAUACAAUACAGUCCCAAGCAGCAAAAACAUCACAAUCAGGAGGAACCACUGCAGCAGCCGCAACAAGAUUGAAUUGGCCACAAAUCGAUCAACAGCAGUAACGGAACAUACCCGGUCAACCGUAAACACAACAGCAAGGUACUCGGCGGAAGGGAUUUCUGUAUUUGUGCGUGUGUAUGACUCGUUUUUGAAAAAAGCGCUUUCCUUCGAUUCUCUGGCACGCUACCGGGGAAAUCCAUUACCAUUAAGUUGAACGAGAACCAGGAAUGAGUCCUUCGGGGAGACGACGCGUAAUGGUUAAUGUUGGUGGAGUUGCAGAUCACGCUCUGAAAAUAUCGCAAACUAUAUCCCCCUCAGCAGCACGCAACCCCGACACGAAAGGUGGUACGCAAAGCCCCUGAAAACAACGACAGCCCGUUAAUAUUUAGCAUAGCAUAAAAAGCCUAGUAGUUAGAAGAUAGAUGGCACAUAAUAGCAAGUCAGUCCCAUGUUCUGUACUAUCGCUAUACGCAUAACUGUUCCAUGUGCUAUGGAAUUUUCGAUGCACAUAACAUUAACCUUUAAACGCAUGAAACUCAUUUUUUAU